AACCUAGUGCACGGGCUUUAUGUGUAUCAGUGAGGAUUCGUCCGAGAUCACAUUUUUNNUUUUU
rnacentral:snRNA from 1 species